GUUAAUGUAGCUUAACAACAAAGCAAA
rnacentral:tRNA from 1 species